UGUCCCCGACGGGAUUCGAACCCGUGACUUUCGGCUCAUAAGACCAACACUCUAACCGGCUGAGUUACGGGGAC
rnacentral:tRNA from 1 species